rnacentral:rRNA from 1 species
AGCGAACGCUGGCGGCAGGCCUAACGCAUGCAAGUCGAACGGAUCCUUCGGGAUUAGUGGCGGACGGGUGAGUAACACGUGGGAACGUGCCCUUUGGUUCGGAACAACUCAGGGAAACUUGAGCUAAUACCGGAUGAGCCCUUCGGGGGAAAGAUUUAUCGCCAUUGGAGCGGCCCGCGUCUGAUUAGCUAGUUGGUGAGGUAAAGGCUCACCAAGGCGACGAUCAGUAGCUGGUCUGAGAGGAUGAUCAGCCACAUUGGGACUGAGACACGGCCCAAACGCCUACGGGAGGCAGCAGUGGGGAAUCUUGCGCAAUGGGCGAAAGCCUGACGCAGCCAUGCCGCGUGAAUGAUGAAGGUCUUAGGAUUGUAAAAUUCUUUCACCGGGGACGAUAAUGACGGUACCCGCAGAAUAAGCCCCGGCUAACUUCGUGCCAGCCGCCGCCGUAA